rnacentral:rRNA from 1 species
ACGGGAGGCAGCAGUAGGGAAUAUUGCACAAUGGGGGAAACCCUGAUGCAGCAACGCCACGUGUGGGAAGAAGCAUUUCGGUGUGUAAACCACUGUCGUGAGGGAAUAAUGCUUAAUUUCGGUUAAGUUGAAUGUACCUCGAAAGGAAGCACCGGCAAACUUCGUGCCAGCAGCCGCGGUAAUACGAGGGGUGCAAGCGUUGUUCGGAAUCAUUGGGCGUAAAGGGCAUGUAGGCGGUCUGUCAAGCCAGGCGUGAAAGCCAGGGGCUCAACCCCUGAACUGCGCUUGGAACUGGCGGACUGGAGUCGCUGAGGGGGAACCGGAAUUCCUGGUGUAGGGGUGAAAUCUGUAGAUAUCAGGAAGAACACCGAUGGCGAAGGCAGGUUUCCAGCAGACGACUGACGCUGAGGUGCGAAGGUGCGGGGAGCAAACAGGAUUAGAUACCCUGGUA